GAUUGCCCUCACAACCCCCCCCCCCCCCCCUCCAUCCACCUCCUGCUGUUCUGGUUGUUGGUGUGGGUUUUAAGUGGGUGUCCCGUCGUCCGUAGCGUUAAGGAUGUGUCCCUUUCUCUGUGCCCGAGGCAUGCUAUGCUGUCUGGUCUGUGCUCCUGGUCACAUGACCCCCACUGACCUCCCUGUCCCCGGCUGCAAUAGGUCCGCCUGACUCGGGAUGCGUUGUGUUACGCAAAAGUGGGGAGGCAAUUAAGCGUUGCACCAACCAGCGCGCCAGGGAAGUCUCUCACCGCCAAGCUUGGCUGGUGGAAGGAAGGAGAGGAGAGAAGGAGUGGAUGGAGGGAUGGUAAUGGAUGGAUUGAAGGAAGGAUAGAUAGAUGGAGGAAAGGUGAGUACCCCAAGCAUGGAUCACCUCUUCCAGACCAUUCCUACUCCUCUGUCCUGCACCGCCCCCCUGGUUGCGGAGACUCCACCCGAGUCCUUGGAUGGGGUUCGACUCCAUAGGGUACUGAGUCCUUGGAUGGGGUUCGACUCCAUAGGGUACUGAGUCCUUGGAUGGGGUUCGACUCCAUAGGGUACUGAGUCCUUGGAUGGGGUUCGACUCCAUAGGGUACAUUACUGAGUCCUUGGGUGGGGUUCGACUCCAUAGGGUACUGAGUCCUUGAAUGGGGUUCGACUCCAUAGGGACCUGCAAAGCAGGGGCCUUCAUCUCCUACUCUGGUGAGUUGGUGCGUUUUGGGCUUUACUGGGUAGCCUUGGUGAAGUGGCUAUCAAGUAAGCACUGGGGAGCCUAAUAGCAACGCAAUCUAGGAAACCACUUCCUCUGCUCAGAUUUGGACGAGGAGGCGACUUUCUUUUUAAAACACACCAGGGUAGGAUUUGUGAGUCCCUGCCUUCCUCCGCAACCAGAAGUUAUAUCACCAGGCUGGCUCCAUGUUUUAGCGGUUAGCUGGCUAACUCUGGUAAACAUACUGAAGAAAAUACCUUCACGGUCAAUGGCUUCAAACUCACAAAGCCUCGAACCCCUGUUUGUGUUUUAACAUGAGUCAUGCACCGCUGACAGAAGGUCAAAGGUCAGUCUCAGUACUUUCCGGAGAUAGCGAGCUAACUUUAAAACGCACUUUGUGAUAUAAAACACAGGGCUUGACUCAUUUAUUUCAGUGAGCGGCUCCCAUCUCCCUGCUGUCUGACUGGUGUGUUUCAUAUUUUCCCGCUGAGCAAGGAAGUCCUCCACAGAGGAUCAAUGCCCUGCCCUUUGUAUGUUCACACAUUCACCACAAAAUGGCUGCCGCCACCUCCUCCCCCCCCCCCCCCUACACUGCCCCCCAUGUCCACACUCUGUGCGCUGGAUGGCUAACACAAGCCUAGCCGUUACGCUUGUCCAGAAAGCAGCUAUCUCCGGAACCGGGCCUGGCCCAGGUCUGGCCCUGCUCUGGACCUGGUCUGGCACGGCCUCGCUCCGCUCCGGAGAAAGCUGCUUUCUGCUUGUGUUCUUGGGUCACGUGUAGUCCUUGACUAGCUUCCAUUGCCUCUCGCUAGUAGCAAAGCCACAUGGUAUCUGUGUGAUGUGUGUCUGGUCAAGAUAAUCCCCCCGUUUGUGUCCUGAGCAGCAACGUUUCAUUAGAGAAACAAUUAAUGUGUUUUUUUUUUUUAAAGUACAAUAAUCAAAUCAAGAAAACAAUUCUAUUGCAGGCGAUAGGAUGCCUAUAAUUUGUCAUUUGUAACGGUUGCCUUUUACAUGGAGAUGAAGUAGUUGGAGCAUGUUUUGAAGAGGUGCAUAAAAUGGCGAUACCUCAUGUCUGUGACAAAAAUGUACACUCCUGUGACCUCGUCUGCAUGGGUACAAUUUGUUAUCAUCUGCAUGCCAAUCUCGAAAUAAAUCACUUGGAAUUAGAAGGGACGCUGUUUUGAUUUUUUCUUCCAUCACACUAAACCGCACUGGGCUGUGUCAAUUCAAGGCUUUCAUUUUUUUUUUUAAAGGGUGCCUGUAUCAAUAUUAUGGUAAAACUACAAAACAGACAGACUUUUGUCGACUCACAGAGAACUUAUUUGUUAAAAUAAAGCAUAGCUGAACAUUAAUGUAAUAGCCUUUUCGGAAUAAGUUUCAAAGAAAAGAAAAAACUGGGUGCAAAAUUGAAAAAGAACAUUCACAUCCGCUCCAGCCUGAGUACAGAUGCAGGUCAAAAUGAAUGACCUU
ensembl:lncRNA